CAUGUAGCUCAGCUGGAUAGAGCGUUCGCCUCCGGAGCGAAAGAUCGUGGGUUCAAAUCCCAUCAUGU
rnacentral:tRNA from 1 species